rnacentral:rRNA from 1 species
UGAGUACGAGACGCUAAGGCGUUGAAGUAGUGGAUGUCAUACUUCCAAGAAAAGCUUGCACUGUCAUAAAUAAAAAUGCCUGUACCAUAACCGACACAGGUGGGUAGGUAGAGUAUACUAAGGGGCGCGAGAUAACUCUCUCUAAGGAACUCGGCAAAAUGACUCCGUAACUUCGGGAGAAGGAGUGCCUUAUUCGUAAGGCUGCAAUAACAGGAUCCAAGCAACUGUUUAUCAAAAACACAGGUCUCCGCUAAGUCGUAAGACGAUGUAUGGGGGCUGACGCCUGCCCAGUGCCAGAAGGUUAAAGAAGUCGGUUAGCAUUAGCGAAGCUGGUAACUGAAGCCCUGGUGAACGGCGGCCGUAACAAUAACGGUCCUAAGGUAGCGAAAUUCCUUGUCGGGUAAGUUCCGACCCGCACGAAAGGCGUAAUGAUUUGGAUACUGUCUCGGAGAGGGGCUCGGUGAAAUAGACUUGUCUGUGAAGAUGCGGACUACCUGCACCAGGACAGAAAGACCCUAUGAAGCUUUACUGUAACUUGAAAUUGAAAUUGGACUUUAUUCGCGCAGUAUAGGUGGGAGGCGUUGAUUAUAAUCUUGCGGGAUUAUUGGAGCCAUCAGUGAGAUACCACUCUUGUAAUGUUAGAUUUCUAACUUUGAAUCAUUAUCUGGUCAGAGAACAGUUUCAGGCGGGCAGUUUGACUGGGGCGGUCGCCUCCUAAACGGUAACGGAGGCGUACAAAGGUUUCCUCUGAACGGGUAGAUAUCGUAUCUAGAGUGUAAAGGCAUAAGGAAGCUUGACUGUGAGACCUACAAGUCGAGCAGGGACGAAAGUCGGUCUUAGUGAUCUGACGGUACUGAGUGGAAAGGCCGUCACUCAACGGAUAAAAGUUACUCUAAGGAUAACAGGCUGAUCUCCCCCAAGAGUUCACAUCGACGGGGAGGUUUGGCACCUCGAUGUCGGCUCAUCGCAUCCUGGGGCGGUAGUACGUCCCAAGGGUUGGGCUGUUCGCCCAUGAAAGCGGUACGCGAGCUGGGUUCAGAACGUCGUGAGACAGUUCGGUCCAUAUCCGGUGUAGGCGUUAGAAUAUUGAGAGGAGCCUUCUUUAGUACGAGAGGACCGAGAAGGACAUACCUCUGGUGUACCAGUUAUCGUGCCAACGGUAAACGCUGGGUAGCUAUGUAUGGAGUGGAUAACCGCUGAAAGCAUCUAAGUGGGAAGCCCACCUCAAGAUAAG